GUAAUAUCGAGAAACGACGUCUAAAGUUGCGCCAAGUUUACGCGCGCAGCUUUCUUACACAUGUUUUAAUUAGCAAAAGUUUGACCGUUAAAGUACGACUGCUUGUUACAUGACUGAUAACAGCCUACUAGAGAAAGAAUAUUUAGACAUCAGACCUGUAAAAAAAAUAGUGGUAUUACGCCUGAGACAAAAUAUUUCGUUCAUAAUCAGUUGUUUCCCCUUCGCUACUGUAUGUUUCCGGUUUCGGAUUUUAUCAGGGAAGCAUGUGAAGUUUACUUUUGUUUAACUACCUUUUGUUCAACGAUGAAGGGAUCUGAGACUUGUAAUACUGUUUACUGAUUUGAUAAUAUUCCUUGUUCCUUUGAUGGUUCAUUCCACUACAGCUGGUUCAUAUACCCUACACUAGCCAGGAAAUUGAUCUGUUUACUUUAAGAUCUGAAGAAAAUGUAACAUAUUUUGGAUGUGCUUUGAGGAAUCAGGUAGGCAAGUGUUUCCUCUUGUUUAUGAAAGCAGCUCAGUUGGUUAAGGAGCAGACAACUUGUGAGCAUGGUACAUCACUACCUGUAUUGGUAUUCCAUUUUGACAAUGUUGCUAGCUAGGAUAGAAAUAACAUCUUGCUGUGGUAUGGUCUGUGGAGAGUUUUACUAGGAUAUCACAGAUGGAUUGAAUAUUCAACAGUGAUCACAGACCAUGCAAAGUUUGAAUCUGACUUGCACUUUUGAAUUUAGAAGAAUCUGUGGAGGAGGGUGAAUGCUGAGACCUUUAAUAAUACAUGAUAUUGCUGACACAGUGUGUCAGUCAUAAAAGAAAGGUCAUAUCAUUGCACAGUUGGUCAACAAUGAUUUAAAUCCUGUCACAUUCUACCAGUGGAGAAAUAUCUUAUAACAAUAUUUUAAACUUUUGAAGAAGAUAACCAAGUAUUACCACUUUAUCAUGUCUGCAGAAACACCUGGAUUGUUAUUGUUAAAAGUGACAGUCCAGUUAAGACAGUUAACUUAUUAAAAUCUACUCCACCUUGCCAAACGAAUAUUAUUGACAUGGAAUGACACAAGCCUGACAAUGGUACCUGUAUGAUUUGUAUUUUAAGGGAUCUGCAGCAUAUAAUAUAAUGGUUAAAUAAUGUUCACUUUCUUCAGUAUUGUCAGUUAUAACUAGCCAGUGAAAAAAACAGAUUAUGAGGAAAGGGAUGACUGAAAUGUUUAUUCUUACAAUAACUACUUUUGUUACUUUUUUUGUUUUGUUAUCUUAAAGUUUUUUAUGUAAAAUUUUCAGAUUUCUUUCCUGAGUACUUAUACUUUCAAAUAUUUAACUUAUAUUAGAAAUACUUUUUUAAAAUAAGCUUUUGUUUUUAAGUAUUAUUGUAGGAAAAGGGAAUUUGAAACAUAUGUCGCCAUGGUAACACAAUUUUCUUAGAAAAUAUGGAAAGUUUUUAAUUAGCUGUACUUUCUAGUAUUCUACUUUAAAAUAAGCAUAAACAAUAAAAAAAAAAUCAAUAGUAAUAUAUGUUUCAUUUAUUUCAAAACAGCCAUUUAUUACCAGCAGGUAAAAGGCAAGUUAUGAAGAAACAAUGACAGAAAAUCAAAUGUCUUAUUCUUAUAGUUGUUACUCAUGUUACAAAUGCUGUCAUAAAACAAAACAUUUUAAUUUUUUUAACAUGGAAUUUUGAGAUAAUAUUCUUGAAUACAUACCACUUUAUAAUAUUCAAGUUAUCUGAAAUACUUUUCCAAAUUUAGCUCUUUUUAAAGUAUUAUUAUAGAAAAUAGAAUCGAAUGCAUAUGUUGCCAUGGUAACAUAAUUUAAUAAUGUUUUUAUAGAAAAUGUGAAGGACAUUACCCAGCUAGAUGUUUGCACUUUAUGUGAAUAUCUAAAUAUUCUUUGUAAAAGAAGAUUCAUUUAUUUAAAAAUAGCCAGUGAUUACCAAUAAGUGAAAACACAAACUGAAUAAACAACGACUGAAAUAGUUUAUUCUUGUGGUUAUUACCCGUGUUACGAAAUCUGUCAUAAAACCAAACAUUUUAUAUCUUGUCGCAUAAAAGUUUCAAAUUUUACUUUCGAAUACAUAUACUUCAAAAUAUUCAACUUAUAAGAAACAUUAUUUCAAAUUAAGCUUUUAUUUUUAAGUUCUAUUGUAGAAAAAGGAAUUUAAUGCAUAUGUUGCCAUGGUAACACAAUUUGAAUAAUGUUUUCAUAGAAAAUAUGAAAGAUUUUAAUUAGCUGUAUUUUUCUGUUUUAAGUAUGCAUCACAAGAAUAAAAUUUCAUAGUAAUAGAAGUUUAUUUUUUUCCAAAAUAGUCAUUUAUGACCAGCAUCUAAAAGACAAGUUAUGAAGAAACAAUGACAGAUCUAACUUAUUCUUAUAGUUAUUACCCAUGUUACAAAAACUUGUCAUAAAACCAAACAUUCUUAAUAUUUUCAUGUGAAAUUUUCAGAAUAUUUUUAUAAAUACAUAUGCCUUCUAAUAUUUUACUUUUAAAAGUCCUUACUUUAAGUGAACAUGUUGCUUUUUUAAGUUUUAUCAUAGAAAAGGGAAUUUAAUAUAUUUGUUGCCAUGGUAACACAAUUUGAGAAAUAUUUUUAUAGAAAUCGUUGUAGAUUUUAGUUGAUUAUCAUUUUGUGUAAUAAGGAGGGAUCUUAUAUAUAUCAUGCAAUUGUAACAGAAGAUAAAUUUAUUUCAGAAUUGUUAGCCAUUACCAGUAAGUGAGAAAUAAACUAGAAAGAAAGAAUAA